GGGGUGGGUUGUGUGGGUGAGUAAAAAAAGAAGAUAUCUCGUUCAGAAUGGCCUUUCCCUUGGUUGAACUCAACACAGAUUUUCCUCAUGAGAAUUUUCUAAGGACGUGUUUUCCUCAAGAAACAAGCUAUUAGGGUCAGAAUUACACAAGAAGAUGAAAGUAGAACCUGUUCAACCCACUUAUAUCAUGAGCGACAUUUUAACUUUGCAGCCUCCAGCUUCUUUUUUAAUGCCUCCAUCCGUUCAAUCAAGGCCAUGUUUUCCUUUUGCAGCAUUUCCAGUUGCUGGUUAAUGCUAGCAGCAUCCUCCACCUUCUG
rnacentral:misc_RNA from 1 species